rnacentral:rRNA from 1 species
GCGUGCUUAACACAUGCAAGUCGAACGGAAAGUGCUCUUCGGAGUGACUCGAGUGGCGAACGGGUGAGUAACACGUGGGUGAUCUGCCCUGCACUUUGGGAUAAGCCUGGGAAACUGGGUCUAAUACCGGAUAGGACCACGGCCUUCAUGGGUUGUGGUGGAAAGCUUUUGCGGUGUGGGAUGGGCCCGCGGCCUAUCAGCUUGUUGGUGGGGUAAUGGCCUACCAAGGCGACGACGGGUAGCCGGCCUGAGAGGGUGUCCGGCCACACUGGGACUGAGAUACGGCCCAGACUCCUACGGGAGGCAGCAGUGGGGAAUAUUGCACAAUGGGCGCAAGCCUGAUGCAGCGACGCCGCGUGAGGGAUGACGGCCUUCGGGUUGUAAACCUCUUUCAACUACGACGAAGCGCAAGUGACGGUAGUAGUAGAAGAAGCACCGGCCAACUACGUGCCAGCAGCCGCGGUAAUACGUAGGGUGCGAGCGUUGUCCGGAAUUACUGGCGUAAAGAGCUCGUAGGUGGUUUGUCGCGUUGUUCGUGAAAACUCACAGCUUAACUGUGGGCGUGCGGGCGAUACG